GAUGAACGCUGGCGGCGUGCCUAAUACAUGCAAGUCGAGCGAACGGACGAGAAGCUUGCUUCUCUGUUGUUAGCGGCGGACGGGUGAGUAACACGUGGAUAACCUACCUAUAAGACUGGGAUAACUUCGGGAAACCGGAGCUAAUACCGGAUGAUAUUUUGAACCGCAUGGUUCAAAAGUGAAAGACGGUCUUGCUGUCACUUAUAGAUGGAUCCGCGCUGCAUUAGCUAGUUGGUAAGGUAACGGCUUACCAAGGCAACGAUGCAUAGCCGACCUGAGAGGGGGAUCGGCCACACUGGAACUGAGACACGGUCCAGACUCCUACGGGAGUCAGCAGUAGGGAAUCUUCCGCAAUGGGCGAAAGCCUGACGGAGCAACGCCGCGUGAGUGAUGAAGGUCUUCGGAUCGUAAAACUCUGUUAUUAGGGAAGAACAUAUGUGUAAGUAACUGUGCACAUCUUGACGGUACCUAAUCAGAAAGCCACGGCUAACUACGUG
rnacentral:rRNA from 1 species